AGAUUGAACGCUGGCGGCAGGCCUAACACAUGCAAGUCGAGCGGUAGAGAGGUGCUUGCAUCUCUUGAGAGCGGCGGACGGGUGAGUAAUGCCUAGGAAUCUGCCUAGUGGUGGGGGAUAACGUUCGGAAACGGACGCUAAUACCGCAUACGUCCUACGGGAGAAAGCGGGGGACCUUCGGGCCUCGCGCCAUUAGAUGAGCCUAGGUCGGAUUAGCUAGUUGGUGGGGUAAAGGCCCACCAAGGCGACGAUCUGUAGCUGGUCUGAGAGGACGACCAGCCACACUGGAACUGAGACACGGUCCAGACU
rnacentral:rRNA from 1 species